rnacentral:lncRNA from 10 species
AAAACUUGGAGUCAGCAGAAAGUAAUGUUUUAAGAUAAGAAUGCUACCUAGCAAGAUUCAUGGCUUGCAGAUAUGAUUUAACCCUUGCCUUGCAUGGCCUUAGUCUUGUUUAUGAUUUGGUAUCUUAUUGCCACAGAGUCUGUUCUGUCAGUUGUAUGGUCUCUAUUUUAACACUAAUACUGGUCAGUUAUUGUGCCUAAACUCCAGAAGGAGGGGGUAUAAGAAAAGGUGUCCAACCUCCCUUCCCACUGUGGCUGGGAAUUCAGUUUUUAAGGUUUUUCUGGGGUCCCCUUUGUCAAGAAGGCAUCUGUUCAGUUGGUGGGGGACUUAGGAUUUUAUUUUUAGUUUACACUACAUUCCAAGGAAGAUUAAUGUAUUACUCCAUGAGGAGGGGCAGUGAUCUAAGAGGGUCUUGUGUUUUACAGGGAAGAAAAAGGCAGAUGUUGCAGCUGCAUGCCACGUGACUCGGGCCACAUAGCCACAUUCCUCUCAAGGCUCAGAAGAAUCUAAAGUUCCAACAGCUCUAAGUUUGAAUCAUUUCAUUUCACAAAGGGCAAGGACUUCAGAGAGUAAGACGGGGGAAGGAGGAUACAGUGUUCUCCUGGAGAGAGGUCAUAAAGGAAUUCUCGGCCCUACCUCCACGUGAAAGCAGGUCGUGAGACCCUCAUUCCAGAGGGGCCUCCCCUGUACUCUGAGGCCAAGAAGAGUCAGAACAAACAUGGCUUGCCGGUCUCCCUCCAGUUUGUCACCAUCAGACCCUGCCCUCCUGUCCUCCAAUCACACUUUUGCAUGAUUGUCCAUAGAAACAGUUUUCCCUGGGUCUUUGGGUCUUCGUUUCGGAAGCCUCCUGUGUCAUGUAAAACUUAUAUUAAAACAUUUGUUAUGCUUUUCUCUUGUUAAUCUGUCUUUCAUGAUAGGAGUCUCAGCCAUGAGCCUUGCAAUGGAUAAGGAAAAGAUAUUACCUUUUCCCCACUACAGGGACUUCUGCUGGAAAAAUCCACUUUGCUAGAGCAGGCACGGGGACCGCUGAUAGGAGACAUUGCUGGAAGAUGCCAAGUGGGCGUUUCCAGAUCACUUUUCAUUUUAAUCAGUUGUCAGAGUUUAUAUUCAGGAGCCCUCCCCUCAAUAUCUGGAUUUUCAGCUUCUCUGGAAGACCGAGAAGACCUGGGCACGUGGGGCCAGCGUUUCUGAAGGCUGUGGUAGUAGACAUGGACGUGGGCACAGAUAUUUCCAAGAGGACGCCUCUGCUCCACCACAGCAGGGACGGUCCACCCACCCAAGUGAUCAGUUCUCAUCUUCGUGCUUCUUAACUAUCAGCAGCAUUAUCAGGAAAAUAAGAUAAUUCUUGCAUCCUCAUCUUACUCAAAACCAAAAAUAGGCCAGGUGCGGUGGCUCACGCCUAUAAUCCCAGCACUUUGGGAGGUCAAGGCAGUGGAUCACCUGAGGUCAGGAGUUCGAGACCAGCUUGGCCAACAUGGUGAAACCCCAUCUCUACUAAAAAUUUAAAAAUUAGCCUGGCAUGGUGGCAUGCAUCUGUAGUCCCAGCUACUCGGGAGGCUGAGACAGGAGAAUUGCUUGAACCCGGGGGAGGGGGGUGGGGGGUUGGUUGCAGUGAGCCGAGAUUGUGACACUGCACUCCAGCCUGGGUGACAGAGCAAGACUCUGUCUCAAAAAAAAAGAAAAAGAAAAAAGAAUAGACCAAGACAUGAAAUGGGGAGUUUGGAAGUGAAGUGUAUUCCUAGAUGUUUAAUAUGCAAAGCAUGCCUGUAAUUAGACUAUUUUUUUAUAACUCACUUCACUCAUUUACAGUUACUGUCUGACUCUCAGAGAUAUUUGAGUUUCCAUCCUUGGUAUCAACCUAAUAUAAGAAAAUGUUUUCCUCAGAUUUCUUUGGAAGUGAAAUGUAUUCCUAGGUGUUUAAUAGGCAAAGCAUGCCUGUAAUUAAAGACUUUUUUAAAAACUAACUUCACUCAUUUACAGUUACUGCCUGACUCUCAGAGGUAUUUGAGUUUCAUCCUCGGUGUCAAUCUAAUGUAAGAAAACGUUUUCCUUGGCUCAAAAGGGCCUACUGACACAUUAACUAAAUGCAACACAUGGAUCUUGUUUGGUGCAUGAUUCAAACAAACUAACCCUGAUAAAACAGUUUUGAGACAAUCUGUAGAGUAUAAACAUUGCCUGAGGUUUAGAUGGUAUUAAGAAAUUAUUGUUGAUUUUUUUUUUAGUGUGACAAUGGUAUUUUUGUUACCUUUUAGAAGUAUUCAUCUGUUAAAAAGAUAGGCAGUGAAAUAUUUAUAGGUGAAAAGACAUGAUUUACAGGAUUUGCUCUAAAACAUUCUGAAGAAUGUGCACUUUUGAAAAUUUUCCAUAAUAGAUGGUUUAAGAAAAACAGUGUCUACCCCCACGUGUCUAAGCGUCUGGCCCAUUAUCAUGCAAAGCAGCAUUUGGCUUCUUUUAUCUUUUGUUCUCUUUGUUACUCGGGCUAAAACUACACAUCAACGCUCCUGCAAUAUUGCUAACUUCUUUCCUUAUGCUAGAAAACUUCUUUUUGAUAGCAUAAUUCAUUUAAAUAUGUUUAGAUUAGCUGAUAGUAUUUUUAUUUAAAAUAUUUAUUUUAAAAUUGUAUAUUUG